ACUAGAUUCCAGAGAACCCCGCCUUCUGCUUCUCAGGCUCGUCAACCUCGGUCUGGCCUCGGGACCUGUGCUCUUGCUAUUAGCCCCUCCCGAACCAUCUUCCCAGAUCAGAGCGAGCUGCUGCUUUUGGUCACAGAGGUCUGAGCUUAACCAUCACCAAGUCAGAACGGCUCCCUGCCCAGCCCGCCUGUGGCCCUAACCCCCAUUUGAAACUGCCUCCUCUAAUUCUGUGGACCCCCUGCUAGAAUGUGCUUCAUCAGAGCAGAGGCCACAGGGCACUUCCUCCCUCCCUCCGUGUGCCCAUGAGUGAAAGCAGGGGCACUGAAAUUAGACUGAAGAUAAACCUGUAUGAUGGAAAUCCUCAUUGUGAAAUCCUAAUCGUAAGCCUCAGAAAACUGAUUUAUCCUCUAUCAGUCAUUGCCACUUAGAAUCUGGUGGAGAACUGUAACAUCUUUAAGUGGAAAGGGACAUUAAAGGGUUGGCUUUGCCCCCAGUGGUUCAUUUUAAUGAUGGGGAAACAGACCCACUGAGGGGAAGUAAGUUGAGAAAUUUUAUGAAGCAAGUCAGUUAAAAACAGCAACAAUGACUCUCCAUUAAGCUUCAGGCACUAAUCUGGUCUGUGCGUGCCCUGAGGGGCUUACAGUGCAGAGAGGAGAAGAGAAAAAACACAAAUAAGCAUAUGACUAGAUCAUUGCAGCAGAAGGUGCGCCAGCUCCCAGAUUUUGGAGUCCCACCAGUCUAGCCUCCUGGUUCAGUCUGACACAGGGGGCCUGAGCUCUUCAGCGCACCACAGUGGUGGAGGCUCACUUCAGUUCCUUCAUGAUCUCCACCUGAACGUGAAGAAACUCGUUUAUUUCAUGGCUCCACCAUCACCAGGGACCCAGGCUUCGAAGUCCAACAUCCCAGGGUCCGGCCUCUGUUCUCAACAUGUCCGUAAAGUGCGCAUGACGGCCGCAGCCCGGCCCAUCAGUCAGGCUCCAGGCAGCAGGGAGGGUGGGCACAAGGGUGCACCCAACAUGGUGCAUUUCGGAGCUCCUGGAGUGUCACACGGCUGAAGCCUUUAUCUUAUAGAGUACAUGACCACAUCUUCCAUCCACAGCAGCCGGGAAGUACAGUCUGUUAGCGGGGCGCACUGUCGCCCUGCAUCAAAUGGUCACUAAGAGAGAACACAGGUUCUAAGGACCUGGAUGUGGACAUAUCUUUUUCGGGGCAACCACUCGACCCACUAACUGGCCCAUUUCAAAAAUGUGUGUAUGAAGGCCCUGGCUCCCGCACAAGGGACUAUUUAUUCCCCACUUCUACCCCCAUGGCUCUUUGUCCCUUCCCCCAUGCUGGUCCCAGUCUGCAUAAUAAUCAGCAGCCAGCCCCUUUGUCUCCAGGGGUCUGAUCUCACUCAUGCUCCAACUUCCACUUGCCUGGGACCAUGUUGUGGGUGGAGAAGGCACUUGGUAGAUGUUUGCUGAAUUAAAUGAAAUCACUGACUGUGCA